UACGGAGGGUGCAAGCGUUAUCCGGAUUCACUGGGUUUAAAGGGUGCGUAGGCGGGCAGGUAAGUCCGUGGUGAAAUCUCUGAGCUUAACUCAGAAACUGCCAUGGAUACUAUUUGUCUUGAAUGUUGUGGAGGUAAGCGGAAUAUGGUCAUGUAGCGGUGAAAUGCUUAGAUAUGACAUAGAACACCAAUUGCGAAGGCAGCUUACUACACAAAUAUUGACGCUGAGGCACGAAAGCGUGGGGAUCAAACAGG
rnacentral:rRNA from 1 species